GUGCCAAGCAGCCGCGGUAAUACCAGCUGAGCUAGAUAUGGGUAACAUUGUUGCAGUAAAAACGUACGUAGUCACUGUCAUCCAUAUUACAGAUCCUUGUGAUGUUGUGAUGGGAUACAAGUUCCUUUUUUGGAGCAAAAUCCGCGAUUAAACUAGAACGAUAAACUUGAAUGUUGAAUAUGACAGCGUGGGAAUCUUUUUGAUGCCAGUUACUGAGAUGCAAUCUUAGUGAUAGGGAUAUACUGUAAGAAUGAAUGAGGGCAUCAGUACUUAAUAGCUAGAGGUGAAAUUCCUAGAUUUGUUAAUGACUAGCUACCGCGAAAGCAUUUGCCUAAUCCAUUUUUGGUGAUCAAGUACUAAAGAGUGGGGAUCGAAGAGGAUUAGAUACCCUCGUAGUCCACUCCCUAAACGAUGCCAACUAGAGGUUGGUCUACGUAUUAUAAACUUUAUCAGAACCUUAGCAGAUAUGAAAGUCUUUGGGCUCUGGGGGGAGUACGGUCGCAAGGUCGAAACUUAAAGGAAUUGACGGAACGGCACCACCAGGGGUGGAGCGUGCGGCUUAAUUUGACUCAACGCGGGAAACCUUACUAAGGUAAGACAUUGUUAUGAUUGACAGAUUACUUGAUCUUUCUUGAUUUGGUGGGUGGUGGUGCAUGGCCGAUCUUAGUUGGUGGGGUGACCCGUCUGGUUAAUUUCGAUAACGAGCGAGAUCCGAGCUGCUUAGUUGGCAAGAUUUGCUUUGCAUAUUUCAGCCUCCUAUGCGGACUGUCAGUUUCAGGCUGAAGGAAGUUUCGGGCUAAAUCAGGUCUGUGAU
rnacentral:rRNA from 1 species